rnacentral:rRNA from 1 species
UACAGAGGGGGCGAGCGUUGUUCGGAAUUACUGGGCGUAAAGGGCGCGUAGGCGGCCCGCUAAGUCGAACGUGAAAUCCCCAGGCUCAACCUGGGAACUGCGUCCGAUACUGGCAGGCUUGAAUCCGGGAGAGGGAUGUGGAAUUCCAGGUGUAGCGGUGAAAUGCGUAGAUAUCUGGAGGAACACCGGUGGUGAAGGCGGCAUCCUGGACCGGUAUUGACGCUGAGGCGCGAAAGCUAGGGGAGCAAACGGG